CCUACGGGAGGCAGCAGUGGGGAAUAUUGGGCAAUGGGCGCAAGCCUGACCCAGCAACGCCGCGUGAAGGAAGAAAGCUUUCUGGUUGUUAACUUCUUUUAAGGAGGAAGAGCAGAACACGGUACCCCUUGAUUUAUCCACGGCUAACUACGUGCCAUCAGCCGCGUUAAUACGUAGGUGGCAAGCGUUGUCCGGAUUUCCUGGGUGUAAAGGGCGUGCAGCCGGAGACAAAAGUCAGAGGGGAAAUCCACGGGCUCAACCCGUACAGUGCAUUUGAAACUGUGUCCCUUGAGUGUCGGUGGGGUAAUCGGAAUUCCUGGUGUAGCGGUGAAAUGCGUAGAUAUAAGGAAGAACACCAGUGGCGAAGGCGGAUUACUGGACGAUAACUGACGGUGAGGCGCGAAAGCGUGGGGAGCAAACAGGAUUAGAUACCCCAGUAGUC
rnacentral:rRNA from 1 species